UACCAGCACCCCGAGUGGUCGGGACGAUUAUUGGGCCUAAAGCAUCCGUAGCCGGUCAUGCAAGUCCUCCGUUAAAUCCACCUGCUUAACAGAUGGGCUGCGGAGGAUACUACAAGGCUAGGAGGCGGAAGAGGCAAGCGGUACCCAGUGGGUAGGGGUAAAAUCCUCUGAUCCAUUGAAGACCACCAGUGGCGAAGGCGGCUUGCCAAUACGCGCUCGACGGUGAGGGAUGAAAGCUGGGGGAGCAAACCGG
rnacentral:rRNA from 1 species